UUUUUUUAACUUAAAUAAGGCCGUUAGUUUUCUCGUUUGAAUUGUUUUACAUUGUCUUAUCGGGGCCUUUUAUAGCUGACUAUGCGGUAUGGGCUUUGAUCAUUGUUGAAGGCCGUACGGUGACCUAUAGUUGUUAAUGUCUGUGUCAUUUUGGUCUUUUGUGGAUAGUUGUCUCAUUGGCAAUCAUACCACAUCUUCUUUU
rnacentral:lncRNA from 1 species